GUGGGGAAUUUUGGACAAUGGGGGAAACCCUGAUCCAGCGACGCCGCGUGAAGGAUGAAGGCCUUCGGGUUGUAAACUUCUUUUGGAGGGGACGAAUAAAUUGACGGUACCCUCAGAAAAAGCCACGGCUAACUACGUGCCAGCAGCCGCGGUAAUACGUAGGUGGCGAGCGUUACUCGGAAUUACUAGGCGUAAAGCGUAUGUAGGCGGUUGUAUAAGUCUAUGGUGAAAUUUCCUGGCUCAACUGGGAAGGGACAUAGAUACUGUAUGGCUUGAGUGUUGGAGGGGGAGACGGAAUUCCUGGUGUAGCGGUGAAAUGCGUAGAUAUCAGGAGGAACACCGAUGGCGAAAGCAGUCUCCUGGCCAAAUACUGACGCUGAGGUACGAAAGCUAGGGUAACAAACAGGAUUAGAUACCCGUGUAGUCC
rnacentral:rRNA from 1 species